UUAGGAAUGGCUCAGUUGGUAGAGCAUGAGACUCUUAAGACUCAGGGUUGUGGGUUUGAGACCCACGUUGGGGGGAAAAG